rnacentral:rRNA from 1 species
AAAAGUGCUUGAAAUCGCUGAACUGGAAGCGAAUGGAACUAGUGCUCUGGUUGAGAUUGCUGUAAAUGGCUGUGACAUCUGGGCUCUGGAACGCAAGUCCUUUGUCUGGCUUGAAGUAGUCGCUUGCAAUGUGUCUCAGCUUGAACAUCAACUUCUAUGCAUACGUGAGGAUGGCCCUUGGCUCAUGCUGUGUUGCUGUGGCGAUACUCUUGUGCUUCUGGGGAUUCAGGUGUGUGUGGAUUGUUGAUCAAUUAGUUCCAUUCGACCCGUCUUGUAACACGGACCAAGGAGUCUAGCACUUGUGCAAGUUCUCAGGUGUCAAACCUCUGUGCGCAAUGAAGGUGACUGCUGGGAUUUUUUGCACCAGCAACCGACCAAUCAAUUGGGAGAAGUUUGAGUAAGAGCAUGUGUGUUAGGACCCGAAAGAUGG